UGUGGGAGCGGGCUUGCUCGCGAAAACGGUAGGUCAGUCACAUUAAUGCCAUCUGAUCCACCGCUUUCGCGAGCAAGCCCGCUCCCACA
rnacentral:misc_RNA from 1 species